UCGCAAGUUAACACGCGGCCACGACGA
rnacentral:sRNA from 1 species